rnacentral:rRNA from 1 species
CCCAGACUCCUACGGGAGGCAGCAGUGGGGAAUAUUGCACAAUGGGGGAAACCCUGAUGCAGCGACGCCGCGUGAGUGAAGAAGUAAUUCGUUAUGUAAAGCUCUCUCAGCAGGGAAGAAAAUGACGGUACCUGAGUAAGAAGCCCCGGCUAACUACGUGCCAGCAGCCGCGGUAAUACGUAGGGGGCAAGCGUUAUCCGGAUUUACUGGGUGUAAAGGGAGCGUAGACGGCAGUGCAAGUCUGGAGUGAAAGGCGGGGGCUCAACCCCCGGACUGCUCUGGAAACUGUACGGCUGGAGUGCAGGAGGGGCAGGCGGAAUUCCUGGUGUAGCGGUGAAAUGCGUAGAUAUCAGGAGGAACACCGGUGGCGAAGGCGGCCUGCUGGACUGCAACUGACGUUGAGGCCCGAAAGCGUGGGGAUCGAACAGGAUUAGAUACCCGCGUA